rnacentral:rRNA from 1 species
GCGAGUGAGCGGGAAAAGCUCAAAUUUAAAAUCUGAUGGUCUUUGGCCAUCCGAGUUGUAAUUUAGAGAAGCGACUUCCGCGCUGGACCGUGCACAAGUCUCCUGGAAUGGAGCGUCAUAGAGGGUGAGAAUCCCGUCUUUGGCACGGAUGCACCAGGGCUUUUGUGAUGCGCUCUCGAAGAGUCGAGUUGUUUGGGAAUGCAGCUCAAAAUGGGUGGUGAACUCCAUCUAAAGCUAAAUAUUGGCGAGAGACCGAUAGCGAACAAGUACCGUGAGGGAAAGAUGAAAAGCACUUUGGAAAGAGAGUGAAACAGUACGUGAAAUUGUUGAAAGGGAAACGCUUGAAGUCAGUCGCGUCGGUCGAGACUCAGCCUUGCCUCGGCUUGGCGUACUUCUCGGCUGACGGGUCAGCAUCAAUUUUGCCCCUCGAAUAAUGGCAAGGGAAAUGUGACACCUUUUAUAGGUGUGUUAUAGUCUCUUGUCGCAUGCGAGGGUCAGGAUUGAGGAACUCAGCACGCGCCUUUGGGUGUCGGGGCCUUGGCCCACGAAACGUGCUUAGGAUGUUGGCGUAAUGGCUUUAAGUAACCCGUCUUGAAA